AUGAACGCUGGCGGCGUGCCUCAUACAUGCAAGUCGAGCGAACGGACGAGAAGCUUGCUUCUCUGAUGUUAGCGGCGGACGGGUGAGUAACACGUGGAUAACCUACCUAUAAGACUGGGAUAACUUCGGGAAACCGGAGCUAAUACCGGAUAAUAUUUUGAACCGCAUGGUUCAAAAGUGAAAGACGGUCUUGCUGUCACUUAUAGAUGGAUCCGCGCUGCAUUAGCUAGUUGGUAAGGUAACGGCUUACCAAGGCAACGAUGCAUAGCCGACCUGAGAGGGUGAUCGGCCACACUGGAACUGAGACACGGUCCAGACUCCUACGGGAGGCAGCAGUAGGGUAUCUUCCGCAAUGGGCGAAAGCCUGACGGAGCAACGCCGCGUGAGUGAUGAAGGUCUUCGGAUCGUAAAACUCUGUUAUUAGGGAAGAACAUAUGUGUAAGUAACUGUGCACAUCUUGACGGUACCUAAUCAGAAAGCCACGGCUAACUACGUG
rnacentral:rRNA from 1 species